GUCGAGAAUCUUUCACAAUGGGGGCAACCCUGAUGGAGCGACGCCGCGUGGAGGAUAAGGUCUUCGGAUUGUAAACUCCUGUCAUGCGUGAACAAGGUUGCUUGGUUAAUACCUGGGCAAAUUGAUGGUAACGCAAGAGGAAGAGACGGCUAACUCUGUGCCAGCAGCCGCGGUAAUACAGAGGUCUCAAGCGUUGUUCGGAAUCACUGGGCGUAAAGGGUGCGUAGGUGGCGUGGUAAGUCAGAUGUGAAAGCGCGGGGCUCAACCUCGGAACUGCAUCCGAUACUGCCAUGCUAGAGUACUGGAGAGGUGACUAGAAUUCUCGGUGUAGCAGUGAAAUGCGUAGAUAUCGAGAGGAAUACCAAAGGCGUAGGCAGGUCACUGGACAGUUACUGACACUGAGGCACGAAGGCCAGGGGAGCGAACGGGAUUAGAUACCCUUGUAGUCC
rnacentral:rRNA from 1 species